AUUGAACGCUGGCGGCAGGCCUAACACAUGCAAGUCGAGCGGAUGAAGGGAGCUUGCUCCUGGAUUCAGCGGCGGACGGGUGAGUAAUGCCUAGGAAUCUGCCUGGUAGUGGGGGAUAACGUCCGGAAACGGGCGCUAAUACCGCAUACGUCCUGAGGGAGAAAGUGGGGGAUCUUCGGACCUCACGCUAUCAGAUGAGCCUAGGUCGGAUUAGCUAGUUGGUGGGGUAAAGGCCUACCAAGGCGACGAUCCGUAACUGGUCUGAGAGGAUGAUCAGUCACACGGGAAGAGAGACACGGUCGCGACACUGAGGGGAGGAAGCAGUGGGGAAUAUUGGGGAAGGGGGGAGAGGGUGAUCCAGCCAAAUGGCGGGUGUGAAGAAGGUCUUCGGAUUGUAAAGCACUUUAAGUUGGGAGGAAGGGCAGUAAGUUAAUACCUUGCUGUUUUGACGUUACCAACAGAAUAAGCACCGGCUAACUUCGUG
rnacentral:rRNA from 1 species